UUGUAUUAAAUUAAACAAAAAUGCCUUUAGCCCUAAAAUACGACCCUGUAUUCGGUAGAGACUACUCUUAUCUCGACGAGUACCGAUACACACCUGACUAUAGAGUACGAAAACCACUCGACUAUUAUUUUAAUUGGCCAUGGAGCUAUCGCUAUUGGUUCCAAAACCAGAGAGACCGCAGGCAAUUGUAUAAGCUUCUUCGUCUGAGGGAACUCACAUACAUUGCCCAAUAAGCCAACGAAAUAAAUUCUCAAGAAAUUUGAUUAAAUUAUUAUUAAUGCAAUAUAAAUAAAAUAUAUUUUUGUUAUUUUUCUCUAAUAAAUAAAAUAAUAAUUAA